rnacentral:rRNA from 1 species
AUCAACGCUGGCGGCGUGCCUAACACAUGCAAGUCGAACGAGAAAAUCCCCGCAAGGGGAUGAGUACAGUGGCGAACGGGUGAGUUAACACGUGACUACCUGCCCUGGAGUGUGGGAUAACCCCGGGAAAACCGGGGCUAAUACCGCAUAACACCGAGAGGUCAAAGGAGCAAUCCGCUCUUGGAGGGGGUUCGCGGCUGAUUAGCUAGUUGGUAGGGUAAUGGCCUACCAAGGCGAUGAUCAGUAGCCGGCCUGAGAGGGGCGCACGGCCACACUGGAACUGAAAACACGGUCCAGACUCCCACGGGAGGCAGCAGUGGGGAAUUUUGCGCAAUGGGGGAAACCCUGACGCAGCAACGGCCGCGUGGAGGAUGAAGUUCCUUGGAAGGCGUAAACUCCUUUCGAGCGGGACCGAUGAUGACGGUACCGCUAAGAAGAAGCCCCGGCUAACUUCGUGCCAGCAGCCGCGGGUAAUACGAGGGGGGGCAAGCGUUGUUCGGAAUUAUUGGGCGUAAAGGGGCGCGUAGGCGGUGCGGUAAGUCACCUGUGAAAACUCCCCGGCUCAACUGGGAGCCUGCAGGCGAAAACUGCCGUGCUGGAGUAUGGGAUGGGUGCGUGGAAUUUCCCGGUGUAGCGGUGAAAUGCGUAGAUAUCGGGAGGAACACCUGUGGCGAAAGCGGCCAUCCUGGACCAGGAACUUGACGCUGAUGGCGCGAAAAGCCAGGGGAGGCAAACGGGAUUAGAUACCCCUGGUAGUCCUAGGCCCUAAACGAUGAUCGCUUGGUGUGUUGGGGGUAUCCGAUCCCUAGCCGUGCCGCAGCUAAACGCGUUUAAGCGAUCCGCCCUGGGGAGUACGGUCGCAAGGCUGAAACUCAAAAGGAAUUGACGGGGGCCCGCACAAAGCGGUGGAGCAUGUGGUUCAAUUCGACGCAACGCGAAGAACCUUACCUGGGCUCGAAGCGCAGUGCACCGGAGUGGAAACACUCCUUCCCGCAAGGGGUGCUGCGUAGGUGCUGCAUGGCUGGUCGUCAGCUCGUGUUCGUGAGAUGUUGGGUUAAGUCCCGCAACGAGCGCAACCCCUUAUUGCCGGUUACUAACGGGUCAUGGCCGAGAACUCUGGCGAAACUGCCUCCGACAAGGGGGAGGGAAGGUGGGGAUGACGUCAAGUCCUCAUGGCCUUUUAUGUCCCAGGGCUACACACGUGCUACAAUCGCCGGUACAAAACCGUCGCAAAACCCGCGAGGGGGGAGCUAAUCGGAAAAAAGCCGGCGUCAGUUCGGAUUGGAGUCUGCAAACCCGACUCCAUGAAGCUGGAAUCGCUAGUAAUCGCGGAUCAGAACGCCGCGGUGAAUACGUUUCCCCGGGGCCUUGUACACACCGCCCGUCACAUCACGAAAGUGGGCGAUACUAGAAGUCGGUGGGCCAACCCGCAAGGGAGGCAGCUGCCCAAGGUUAUGGCCUCAUGAUUGGGGUG